AGAGUUUGAUCCUGGCUCAGAUUGAACGCUGGCGGCAUGCUUUACACAUGCAAGUCGAACGGCAGCACGGGGGCAACCCUGGUGGCGAGUGGCGAACGGGUGAGUAAUGCAUCGGAACGUAUCCUUAAGUGGGGGAUAACGCAUCGAAAGAUGCGCUAAUACCGCAUAAUCUCUGAGGAGAAAAGCAGGGGAUCGCAAGACCUUGCGCUUUUGGAGCGGCCGAUGUCUGAUUAGCUAGUUGGUGAGGUAAAGGCUUACCAAGGCUUCGAUCAGUAGCUGGUCUGAGAGGACGACCAGCCACACUGGGACUGAGACACGGCCCAGACUUCUACGGGAGGCAGCAGUGGGGAAUUUUGGACAAUGGGGGAAACCCUGAUCCAGCCAUGCCGCGUGAGUGAAGAAGGCCUUCGGGUUGUAAAGCUCUUUCAGCCGGAAAGAAAUCGCACUGGUUAAUACCUUGUGUGGAUGACGGUACCGGAAGAAGAAGCACCGGCUAACUACGUGCCAGCAGCCGCGGUAAUACGUAGGGUGCGAGCGUUAAUCGGAAUUACUGGGCGUAAAGCGUGCGCAGGCGGAUUCUCAAGUCGGAUGUGAAAACCGUAGGCUUAACCUACGGCCUGCAUCUGAUACUGUUAAUCUUGAGUACGGGAGAGGAAAGUGGAAUUCCAGGUGUAGCGGUGACAUGCGUAGAUAUCUGGAAGAACACCGGUGGCGAAGGCGGCUUUCUGGACCGAUACUGACGCUGAGGCGCGAAAGCCAGGGGAGCAAACAGGAUUAGAUACCCUGGUAGUC
rnacentral:rRNA from 1 species